UUUAAUUUUAGUUCUGAGUACGCUCACGUGACGCUCAUUGCUGCUAUCAGUGCCAAAAUGCCGAAAACCUAGUUUC